UGAACGCUGGCGGCGUGCCUAAUACAUGCAAGUCGAGCGACCGGACGAGAAGCUUGCUUCUCUGAUGUUAGCGGCGGACGGGGGAGUAACACGUGGAUAACCUACCUAUAAGACUGGGAUAACUUCGGGAAACCGGAGCUAAUACCGGAUAAUAUUUUGAACCGCAUGGUUCAAAAGUGAAAGACGGUCUUGCUGUCACUUAUAGAUGGAUCCGCGCUGCAUUAGCUAGUUGGUAAGGUAACGGCUUACCAAGGCAACGAUGCAUAGCCGACCUGAGAGGGUGAUCGGCCACACUGGAACUGAGACACGGUCCAGACUCCUACGGGAGGCAGCAGUAGGGAAUCUUCCGCAAUGGGCGAAAGCCUGACGGAGCAACGCCGCGUGAGUGAUGAAGGUCUUCGGAUCGUAAAACUCUGUUAUUAGGGAAGAACAUAUGUGUAAGUAACUGUGCACAUCUUGACGGUACCUAAUCAGAAAGCCACGGCUAACUACGUG
rnacentral:rRNA from 1 species